CGAAGAGGUCACACCCGUUCCCAUACCGAACACGGAAGUUAAGCUCUUCAGCGCCGAUGGUAGUCGGGGGUUUCCCCCUGUGAGAGUAGGACAUCGCCAGGC
rnacentral:rRNA from 1 species